rnacentral:lncRNA from 13 species
CAGGAUUGUGCAACCAAGUCCCAACAAUGGCACAGAUUGUACAAUGCAGCCCUCAUAAAUUAAGCUUCCACACUGCAAGGUUGUUGUUUCUGUUUGCCACCAGCUUGAAAAAUACCCAGCUCUUUCAGAGCAGUAAUUAGAGUAGGUAACAAUGAUUGCUGUUAGCUUUCCUGACAGCAUCAAGGUACAAGACAGGAGAUUUCGUACAUUGGCAGCCCGCAGGGAGUACUCACAGCACGGAGGGAUCACUAUGGAUGUGAGACUACUUUGAAAGUUCAGAACCAAGAGGAAAUGGCCAACCAGCCUCGUGGAGAGAGCCUGAGGAUCUGGGACAGCCUGAGCUUCCAGCCCUCUGCCACUCUGAGCACUGACGGCUUUGAGCAGGACUUGGGUGAGGGAGACCUUGGCCACCCAGAGCUGGAAGAAAAACACAGGAGCCAUCUGGACAUUUUGAGGCAAACCUCCCUACUACUGGCUCACAAACUGAAGCUUCAGCAGCUCCAGCAGAAACAGCAGCUUAUGGUGCUGAGGGAGAAAGCAAAGCAAGAGGUUCAGGAAAGCCACAGGUUUUUGAGGGACCUGCUGCAGCACAAUUCAGAGGAGAGCAGGAAUUCCAGACGCAGUGAUCCUUCUGUGACAAGAGUGUACCACGCAGAGCAGACACAGAGAGGACACUGGUUGGAAGGUGACCUUGCUGCUGCCAGGUACAGGAGGCAGGGUACAGCGAGGCACUCCAAGGGUUGGCCUGUGGUUUGCCUAUGUGAAUAUUUUGGGGCAUUAAAAUAAUUCCAAUAUAGUCUUUUUACUGUGAUUUAUGCCCAAACUACAGUAUUAACGCUUUUGCAAUGUUUUGGGAGGUUUUGUAUUUUUUAAGAAGUAGGAACCCCUCUGAAACGUGUGUGAAAAGUAUCAUUUUCUUCAUUUUGCUUUACCAUCAUAUCAUUGAUGUGAAUUAGAAUAUUGUCUGCGCACUUUUUUAUGUUAAUUUAAAGUGGUAUAAAGACAUGAGAAUUGGUUCCAGGGUCUUAUUGAUGCAAUUACCAGAAAGGCACCAUUGCACAGGUAAAACUUUCAGUAUCACAUAAAAAUGAGCGGCAUUCUGGUUUGAAAAAGAUUCAGUCUUUGUCACAGAGGACUUGGCUGUGAAAGCUAGGAAUUGAAAUUGUGUCUCUGACUGCAAUAAGAAAGAAUUUCCUUUUUCUUACCUUCUUAUCUUCAGUAAUCAAGAGAUGGGUUCGCUGAGACACUCUGCAUUGAAGAUAGAAAGAGAGCACAGUCCAGUGGAUCCUAAAAUAGUGGGAGAAAGAAAACCUCGAGGAGGAGGUUCAUAUUGCUCAGUGCUUCAAGGAGGUGAACAUGAAGCUUAAGGAUUUGGUGAUAUUGAGAAAAUGCCCCAUUUAACCUGGUCUGGAACACAAUUUUCUAAUUAAUUUUGAAAAUUUUGACCUAAAUACUUAUGUUUAUUGUGCUUAUUUAAACCAUGGCCAUGUUCCUCUGCACUCCUGGCCCUUCUAAGAAAAUCAUGUUGGGAGCUGAGAGUUAUUUACCCUAUUGAUGGGCCUACUUUUUAAUUUUUACCUGUUUAUCAAGAUUUGACUUAUAUGGAAGUUUAUUGUCCAUACCUUGCUCCUGACAGUGAACACCUGUGGAGUGGCUCCUCUGGCUCCUGCUGAGAGCAGUGCACGUGCCCAGCUGACAAGUAUUUGCCAAAGGCACCUUGAGUUCAGGAAUGGAUGUUAACUUGUACUGUGGGAGUCAUUUUUUGGGUCUCUUUUUUUCAUUCUGUUUCAAAUAUUUUAUUUUUGGUGAUGUUAAUUCUUUGCCUUGGGAUCCCUGCCAGCAGAUCACAGGCAGUCACUGCACAGCCACCAUGCCUUGAGUCUGUUGUCACCUCAGGUGAAUCUCUCCCACGGGGAGACCUGGGACUCUGGAGAGAGCAGUGGCCAGGCCAGCUCCAACAGCCAGGUAACACCAGCUCUUGAAAUAGUCUGAAGGGCAUUUCUUUCUCUGGGUUGGUGGGUUUUUUUGGUUUUAGCCCCUCUAUCAAACUGUUCACCCAAUGACGCCA